UUUGCACGUUGCACAGAACUGACAUCAAUCCUUGCUCCACAUUUUACUAGCCGAGCAACUUUGGAAAUGCCUCUUAUUAAAUCCCUGAUGGCUUGCUUUCACAAUAUAGCCUGACUUUGGGUCGGCUUCCUAAAAUGAGACACAACUGUUAAACUGAACUGACCGAUUUCUCAAGACUGAGACUGCUUCAGUGAGAUAUGGAGCAAUCUGUCAACUUAGCUUCAGGAUUGUGAAAUUUCUUAUUUGAAAUUCCAAAGGAGGAACUGAAAGGGAGCAGCUUUUGCCACCUCAAAAUAUGUGUCUUUGGCGUAUUGAUUAUUUUAAAGUGAGAGAGACAGAGCAUGAACGGGGGAGGGGCAGAGAGACAGGGAGAC